rnacentral:rRNA from 1 species
GACGAACGCUGGCGGCGUGCUUAACACAUGCAAGUCGAGCGGGGUCCAACCUGUCGCAAGACAGGGGAAGACCUAGCGGCGAACGGGUGAGUAACACGUGAGGAACCUGCCCCGAAGACCGGGAUAACACCGGGAAACCGGUGCUAAUACCGGAUGCCCUCAGAGAGUCGCAUGGCUCAUUGAGGAAAUGGAUUCCGCUUCGGGAGGGCCUCGCGGCCUAUCAGCUUGUUGGUGGGGUAACGGCCUACCAAGGCUCCGACGGGUAGCUGGUCUGAGAGGACGACCAGCCACACUGGGACUGAGACACGGCCCAGACUCCUACGGGAGGCAGCAGUGGGGAAUCUUGCGCAAUGGGCGAAAGCCCGAUGGAGCAACGCCGCGUGGAGGACGACGGCCUUCGGGUUGUAAACUCCUUUCGGGGGGGAUGACAAGGACAGUACCCCCAGAAGCAGCCCCGGCUAACUCUGUGCCAGCAGCCGCGGUAAAAC